rnacentral:rRNA from 1 species
AUUGAACGCUGGCGGCAUGCCUUACACAUGCAAGUCGAACGGCAGCACGGGUGCUUGCACCUGGUGGCGAGUGGCGAACGGGUGAGUAAUACAUCGGAACAUGUCCUGUAGUGGGGGAUAGCCCGGCGAAAGCCGGAUUAAUACCGCAUACGAUCUACGGAUGAAAGCGGGGGACCUUCGGGCCUCGCGCUAUAGGGUUGGCCGAUGGCUGAUUAGCUAGUUGGUGGGGUAAAGGCCUACCAAGGCGACGAUCAGUAGCUGGUCUGAGAGGACGACCAGCCACACUGGGACUGAGACACGGCCCAGACUUCUACGGGAGGCAGCAGUGGGGAAUUUUGGACAAUGGGCGAAAGCCUGAUCCAGCAAUGCCGCGUGUGUGAAGAAGGCCUUCGGGUUGUAAAGCACUUUUGUCCGGAAAGAAAUCCUUGGCCCUAAUACGGUCGGGGGAUGACGGUACCGGAAGAAUAAGCACCGGCUAACUACGU